rnacentral:rRNA from 1 species
GACGAACGCUGGCGGCGUGCUUAACACAUGCAAGUCGAGCGGUAAGGCCCUUUCGGGGGUACGCGAGCGGCGAACGGGUGAGUAACACGUGGGUGACCUGCCCUCAGCUCUGGGAUAAGCCCGGGAAACUGGGUCUAAUACCGGAUAUGACUCCAUGACGCAUGUUGUGGGGUGGAAAGCCUUGUGCGGCUGAGGAUGGGCCCGCGGCCUAUCAGCUUGUUGGUGGGGUGAUGGCCUACCAAGGCGACGACGGGUAGCCGGCCUGAGAGGGCGACCGGCCACACUGGGACUGAGACACGGCCCAGACUCCUACGGGAGGCAGCAGUGGGGAAUCUUGCGCAAUGGGCGAAAGCCUGACGCAGCGACGCCGCGUGA